UUUUGGCCUAUUUGAAUGAAAUAUUUAUAAUAUUUGACAAACUAGACAGACAUUUGAAAAGCACAGAAUUAAAUAAAUUAUUUUGAUUAAAAAAAAAAAACUUCCUUUCCUGCAAACCCUAACUUGCUUUAAACCCUCUUUCUCAGUGACCCCUGAGCUUUAGAUGCGGGACUUGUGUUGCUUAUGUGUCAGUUGAGACUGAGCAUCAGAGCUCUGCAAUUUGACUGACUGUAGUUUUCUGUAUAAUAUCCAUGUGUUCCAGAAAGAACUUUCCUUGAUGAGGGGUCAGGAGUACAUUUAUAUAUGGGAAUUAGGAUAAAUAUGUAGAAUGCUAUUUGGAAUUAUGGUGGUUUUGUAAAUUACUGGUUGUAGGUUCUCCUCCUCCUCCAAGAUCCAUGACUUGAUAAGCCCAGGAAAUACUGUCUAGGUUUGCAAUACCAGGCAUGAUUUCACUCUUGUUGAGGUCUUAAGGCCAAUUAGAAGGUGUUGGUUACCGCCAAGGUAUGUAUGCCACACUUGCAGCCUUGAGUUAUGGUUCAGUGCAGAUCAUUGUGGUUCAUAGCUGUCAUAGCUGGGUAGGACUGUUGGUUGGCUCCUUCCUUUGUAAACUUACAUGUUGCCUUUUGGUACCACGAGAGCUAGUCCCCAGGGAGGAUGCUUUACGUUCAGCUCCAUCUUGAAUUUCAUGGUUUUGCUUCCAAAGUACAGGGCAUCUUCAACAAAAGGGACUCACUUUUUACCUCUGGAAGGGAACCAAGGGCAACAUCAAUAGCAUAUAAUGUUUUAGAAAUCUCUUGGACAGCUGAGACCAACAAUUUGAAAGCAUUCUUCUCAUGCUUGGUGUUGGUAGUUUUGUUAGAAAAAUCUUUAGCUUUUGUGUAUAACAUUAUCAGCCCAGAUAGGAAGUUUUCAUUUAAACGCUAAGUGGAUAUGUCUACACAGACUCCUAUGUCUUGUAGGCAGUUUUUUCAUAAUUGGAUAAUAAUAUGACUCCUUAUUGCUCUUUCAGACAACCUUAUUUUAUUUUACCAUCUCCCUUCUCUAUAAUUAAAUCCCUGCCCCUGUUUUUCUAUUUCCUGAUUCAAAUCAUUUGUUCUCUAUUACCACCUAUCCAUUACUCCCCCUCAUCCCACCAUGGUCUGUUUUACUUUUCUGGUUACAACAAUUGCUCAUGUUGUGAACUCAUAUCUGAAGGUUUGGAGCUAGGAACUUCAUUUGAGGGUGAACAUUCAAUAUCUGUCUUUCUGGUUUUGGGUUACUUCACUCAGUGUGAUUUUUUUUUUUCUUGGUCCACCCAUUUCCCUCUAAAGCUCAUUCAUGCUUUGAAUUUUUAUAACAGCUAAAUAGUAUUCCAUAUUGUACAUGUACUACAUUUUCACUAUGCACUUGUCAGUUGAAGGUCAUUUAGGUUGUUUUGAUUUGUAGCCAUUGUGAGCCACAUGGGUAUAGCAUGUAUCUAUGUAGUAGGAUGUUGUGUCUUUUGAGCAUAUUCCAAGGAAUGGAAGAACCGUGUCAUGUGUUAGAUUCAUUUAACUUAAGGGUUUGCUUAUUUAAUUAAGGACUCUCCAUAUUGAUAUCCAUAGUGGCUACAUUUUUUUCUUCAUGUGUUUUUAUUCCCAAUGCUUCUAUUGUUUAUGUUGUUGCUGGUUGGGUUGUUGGUAGUAUUCUUCCUUCUCUGUGGUAAUUAGAGGUUGACUGUCUUACCCAUGGAUGAUUACUUCCCAGUUCUCCCAUAUUUCUCUUCUUCACAGGCAAUGUAUUAUUAUUUCUUGUGUUCUCAUGGAUAAUAUUUCUAUUUUUCCUGUGUAAAUCUUGCUUCUAAUUUAUUAUGUACUAUGCUGCUUUAGGGAAGUGAAUUGUGUUGAUUUGUGACUAUCUUGAAACUAUAUUUGUGACUGUGCACUUAUCUCUGCAUCAAUUUAAGGAGACUAUUUUUCUGGAUGCAACGGUAUGGCUGUCGGUGAUUUUUCUUUCCAGCCUUCAAAUUUUGUUCUAUAUUCUCCUGGCUUUGGGAUCAUUGUCAGGAUACCUGGUAGUAUUAUUGUGCUUGGAUCUUUUAAUGUGGUUUGACAUUGUUCAUUAAUAGGUUUCAGUAUUGAUUUUUGCUUUUCUUUUUUUUUUUUUUUUUUUUUUUUUACCCCUUACAUGAAAGGACUACAAGCUGGCUAUUCAUCAUUCCUGACAGAGAAAUUUAAAGAAGAGAAACAAACAAACAAAAAAAAAUGGCUGAUUCUCCAGUAAACAUGUCCCAGUUUGACCCAUUGAUAUUAAAGGACCACUAGCCAACUAUUCAUUCUUCC
rnacentral:lncRNA from 1 species